rfam:Larimichthys crocea isolate SSNF unplaced genomic scaffold scaffold371, whole genome shotgun sequence.
CCUUCGAUAGCUCAGUUGGUAGAGCGGAGGACUGUAGUGGUUGUGCCAGGCAUCCUUAGGUCGCUGGUUCAAAUCCGGCUCGAAGGA